CCUACGGGCGGCUGCAGUGGGGAAUAUUGCACAAUGGGGGAAACCCUGAUGCAGCAACGCCGCGUGAGCGAUGAAGGCCUUCGGGUCGUAAAGCUCUGUCCUAAGGGAAGAAGACUGACGGUGCCUUUGGAGGAAACGCCGGCUAACUACGCGCCCGCAGCCGCGGGAAUACGUAGGGGGCUAGCGUUAUCUGGAAUUACUGGGGGUAAAGGGUGCGUAGGCGGGCCUGCAAGUCAGAGGUGAAAGGCUACGGCUCAACCGUAGUAAGCCUUUGAAACUGUAGGGCUUGAGUGCAGGAGAGGAGAGUGGAAUUCCCAGUGUAGCGGUGAAAUGCGUAGAUAUUGGGAGGAACACCAGUUGCGAAGGCGGCUCUCUGGACUGUAACUGACGCUGAGGCACGAAAGCGUGGGGAGCGAACAGGAUUAGAUACCCGGGUAGUC
rnacentral:rRNA from 1 species